rnacentral:rRNA from 1 species
UCCUUAGAUGUUCUGGGCCGCACGCGCGCUACACUGACGGAGGCAGCGAGCGUGUCCUUCGCCGGCAGGUGCGGGCAAUCUUGCGAGUCUCCGUCGUGCUGGGGAUAGAUGGUUGCAAUUGUCGAUCUUGAACGAGGAAUUCCUAGUAAGCGCGAGUCAUCAGCUCGCGCUGAUUACGUCCCUGCCCUUUGUACACACCGCCCGUCGCUACUACAGAGUGCCCGUGUCCAAGAAACGGUCGGACCUGUGCGGCCUCUCCGGGCGACCGGAGGGCCGUUACGGGGAAGACCCUUUAUUUGACGCGGGUCGAUGAAGUAAAAGUCGUAACA